rnacentral:rRNA from 1 species
GGCGAGCGGCGCGACGGGUGAGUACAUGCACUGGGAAAUGGCCCUGAUGUGGGGGAUAACCAUUGGAAACGAUAGGCUAAUACCGCAUGAUAGCUUCGUGCUCAAAGUAGGGGGACCUUCGGGCCGUCUCGCGUCAGGAUAUGCCCAGGUGGGAUUAGCUAGUUGGUAAGGUAGAUGGGCUCAUCCAUAGGCGACGAUCCCUAGCUCGGUCUGUAGAGGAUGAUCAGCCACACUGGAACUGAGCACACGGUCCAGACUCAUACGGGAGGCAGCAGUGGGGAAUAUUGCACAAUGGGCGCAAGCCUGAUGCAGCCAUGCCGCGUGUAUGAAGAAGGCCUUCGGGUUGUAAAGUACUUUCAGCAGUGAGGAAGGAGGUAUCGUUAAUAGCGGUAUCUUUUGACGUUAGCUGCAGAAGAAGCACCGGCUAACUCCGUGCCAGCAGCCGCGGUAAUACGGAGGGUGCGAGCGUUAAUCGGAAUUACUGGGCGUAAAGCGCAUGCAGGUGGUUUGUUAAGUCAGAUGUGAAAGCCCGGGGCUCAACCUCGGAAUUGCAUUUGAAACUGGCAGGCUAGAGUACUGUAGAGGGGGGUAGAAUUUCAGGUGUAGCGGUGAAAUGCGUAGAGAUCUGAAGGAAUACCGGUGGCGAAGGCGGCCCCCUGGACAGAUACUGACACUCAGAUGCGAAAGCGUGGGGAGCAAACAGGAUUAGAUACCCUGGUAGUCCACGCGUAAACGAUGUCUACUUGGAGGUUGUGGCCUUGAGCCGUGGCUUUCGGAGCUAACGCGUUAAGUAGACCGCCUGGGGAGUACGGUCGCAAGAUUAAAACUCAAAUGAAUUGACGGGGGCCCGCACAAGCGGUGGAGCAUGUGGUUUAAUUCGAUGCAACGCGAAGAACCUUACCUACUCUUGACAUCCAGAGAACUUAGCAGAGAUGCUUUGGUGCCUUCGGGAACUCUGAGACAGGUGCUGCAUGGCUGUCGUCAGCUCGUGUUGUGAAAUGUUGGGUUAAGUCCCGCAACGAGCGCAACCCUUAUCCUUGUUUGCCAGCGAGUAAUGUCGGGAACUCCAGGGAGACUGCCGGUGAUAAACCGGAGGAAGGUGGGGACGACGUCAAGUCAUCAUGGCCCUUACGAGUAGGGCUACACACGUGCUACAAUGGCGCAUACAGAGGGCGGCCAACUUGCGAAAGUGAGCGAAUCCCAAAAAGUGCGUCGUAGUCCGGAUUGGAGUCUGCAACUCGACUCCAUGAAGUCGGAAUCGCUAGUAAUCGUGAAUCAGAAUGUCAUCGGUGAAUACGUUCCCGGGCCUUGUACACACCGCCCGUCACACCAUGGGAGUGGGCUGCAAAAGAAGCAG